rnacentral:ncRNA from 2 species
UUAACAAUCGUGAGGAAGAGCAAGUACGCAUCAGAAUGGAGGUUCAGAGAGUCGGUGGCAGGUGUGAACCGAUCCUCCCCUGAUGCCGAAUGGGCUUCUGAAUUGCUUUGCUGAACGGAUAGUAGGCGAUGCCGGGUUUCUCUCCCCGUUACCAAGAGAGGAGUAUCGAAACAUAGGUUUUCUGUACUUAGAGUGAACGGCUGUAUAGCUGUUAAUAAAGGUGGUACCGCGAGACCCUCGUCCUUUGC